AUAAAUAUACAGUAAAUUUGGUCAUCAACUCUUUGGCUAGCCAAUUUUUUUGAAGCAAAGACACUAGCUAAAUAAUAUUUUUGGAGUAAAAUAUUACUUCCCACUGCCCAUUGUCUCACGUGUAGCCGAAAAUCUUUUGCCUUUCCCCUUUCAUCUCCCUCCUUUGAGCAAAACCCAUCACACCAGACGGAGCCGUCCAAGGUUUUCCCCUUUCAUCUCCCUCCUUCGAUGCUGCCUUUCUCCUUUCAUUUCCAUCGUCUGCAGCACCGAACGGAGCCAUCCAAGGUUUUUGGUGGCUGGAACUCUCUCCCAGAUUGCCUCCAAGCUCCAUCGUCUCCCAACUGCAGCAUCGAACGAGAGCAACCCAUCGCACCAGACGGACUCCAUUGUCUCCCAGCUGCAGCACCGAACGGUGACACGACUCUGUGAGAAUUUAAGGACCACUGCACCGAACGAGACUUCUAGUUUUGGUACCGGACGGACUCCCAACUGCAGCACCGAACGAGCAAGAAGACUCAGUGAGAAUUUCAUUGAGCACCGGUAAAUCCCCAGGCCAUCGUGAACUGAUUCUCCUAUGUUUUUGUUUUUUUUUUUUUUAUGCGAUUUAUGGAAUCUGUUUUCGUACCGGAUGGGAUUUUUCUUCUUUGAUCUCUGUUUGAACUCCAUUUUUUUUUUAAAGUCUCAAUUGAUUGAAUUUCUGAAAUUUGAUUUUGGUGUAUUGAAUUUGAUAAAAUCAUAUUCUGAUGAACCACUCCGAGAAUUAUCUUUGCUGUGGAGGUUGAGAAUUUC